rnacentral:rRNA from 1 species
UACGUAGGGGGCGAGCGUUGUCCGGAUUCAUUGGGCGUAAAGCGCGGGCAGGCGGCCCGCUCAGUCGGCCGUGAAAGCGCCGGGCUCAACUCGGCGAGGUCGGGCGAUACUGGCGGGCUCGAGGCUGGUAGAGGGCGGUGGAAUUCCGGGUGUAGUGGUGGAAUGCGUAGAGCUCCGGAGGAACACCAGUGGCGAAGGCGGCCGC